UGGGGAAUUUUGGACAAUGGGCGAAAGCCUGAUCCAGCAAUGCCGCGUGUGUGAAGAAGGCCUUCGGGUUGUAAAGCACUUUUGUCCGGAAAGAAAUCCUUGGCUCUAAUACAGUCGGGGGAUGACGGUACCGGAAGAAUAAGCACCGGCUAACUACGUGCCAGCAGCCGCGGUAAUACGUAGGGUGCAAGCGUUAAUCGGAAUUACUGGGCGUAAAGCGUGCGCAGGCGGUUUGCUAAGACCGAUGUGAAAUCCCCGGGCUCAACCUGGGAACUGCAUUGGUGACUGGCAGGCUAGAGUAUGGCAGAGGGGGGUAGAAUUCCACGUGUAGCAGUGAAAUGCGUAGAGAUGUGGAGGAAUACCGAUGGCGAAGGCG
rnacentral:rRNA from 1 species